GAUAGAAUUGGGCCACCACACUG
rnacentral:siRNA from 1 species